UAUCCGCCAGAAGGUUUCGAGGCUGUGGUGCA
rnacentral:scRNA from 1 species